rnacentral:tRNA from 1 species
GCGGGGUUCGUAUACCGGUAGUAUACUACCUUCCCAAGGUAGGGAAGCCAGUUCGAUUCUGGUACCCCGCU